rnacentral:rRNA from 1 species
GACGAACCGAGCGAACGUUAUUCGGAAUCACUGGGCUUAAAGGGCGCGUAGGCGGGCGGCCAAGUCAGGGGUGAAAGCCCCCAGCUCAACUGGGGAAGUGCCUCUGAUACUGGCCAUCUCGAGGGAGGUAGGGGCGUGCGGAACUUCCGGUGGAGCGGUGAAAUGCGUAGAUAUCGGAAGGAACACCGGUGGCGAAAGCGGCGCGCUGGACCUCUUCUGACGCUGAGGAGCGAAAGCAUGGGGAGCGAACAGG